rnacentral:lncRNA from 1 species
UGAUUAAAUGUGGAGCAUCGGCUCCUUUUUUUUUUUUUUUUUUUUGUUUUUUUGGUAAACUGAAAAUAGUAUUUCGGUGCAAAGGGCAGCAAAGUACAAAGAGUAAAAUACCCGAGAGGGCCCAGUUACAAGAUAAUCACGAAGAAAAAAUGGACCAUAAUCCAAAGCCCAAAACAACAGUUUUGAACCUAGAAACAGACAAACCAAACAAAAAACUCUAAAUUCCUGGAACCAUCGCGUCGCUGAGAAACCGCCGCAGACCAAAACUCCAACCCGACGCCAAAGGUCCAGCCAACCAAAUCCGCAAGAGUGAUGGAGAAGACGACUCCAACAACAUCCAAAGACCACCACAAAGAUCGGCACAGCAACCAGAAACCGAAGGAACCAGCAACCAGAAACCGAAGGAAGCUAGUGAGUGAUAAAAGAAAGAAGAACUCAUCAUCUUUCAUUCUACCUUCCUCACAUAUAUAUAUAUAUAUAUAUAUAUAUAUAUAUAUAUAUAUAUAUAUAUAUAUAGACAUAAUCCAUUCAAUUUCUAAAAAAGAUUACUAUUCCUUAACUUUUCAGGGAAUCCUUGAUCAGUGGUUGUGAAUGACUUAUCUUUUCGACCUGGGUUUGGUGAGAGCAAGUAAAAAAGAUUGAGAUAUUUUCGACCAGGUUGAAAUCUACGGACCAGGAUCCUCACCAGAUCUAUUUCCUAGGGAUCCUAGGAUCCACAAUCCUGUCCGUUCAUCGUAUAUCGUGUGGUCAGAAAUUAUUUAAAUUUUAAAUUUUAAAAUUCAAAAAUAAAUAAUACCUAACGAAAACUGACCGUACGAUAUAUAAUAAAUGGAUAGGAUUGCGGGAUCCCUAAGAUCCCUAGGAAUGGAACCGGCGAGGAUCCUGGUGCGAAAUCUCCAUCAAAAUUUUUGCCAGGACCUAUUUACAUGCACUCUAUUCUUUUAUUUGUACUUCUUCGAAACGUCAUAUCAAUGAAUGUC